ensembl:lncRNA
GUUUUCUUUGAAAAAAAAAUCAUCAUGAAUUUUGGCGCAAAAAAAACGCCUUACUAUACUAUGUCGAAAAAAAAUGCGAUUUUUCAAACAUGUUGUACAAACGUGCCAUAUGAUGAAAUAAUGUAAAGGAGGCCGUGAAAAACACUCCAGAAAGGUUUUCUUUAAAAAAAAAAAAAAAUCAUCAUGAAUUUUGGCGCAAAAAAACGCCAUAGUAUACUAUGUCGAAAAAAAUAAUGCAAAUUUUCAACAUGUUGUAAAAACGUGCCAUAUGAUGAAAUAAUGUAAAGGAGGCCGUGAAAAACACUCCAGAAAGGUUUUCUUUGAUAAAAAAAAAAUCAUCAUGAAUUUUGGCGCAAAAAAACGCCAUAUAUACUAUGUCGAAAAAAAAUGUCACUUUUCAACAUGUUGUAAAAACGUGCCAUAUGAUGAAAUAAUGUAAAGGAGGCCGUGAAAAACACUCCGGAAAGGUUUUCUUUGAAAAAAAAAAUCAUCAUGAAUUUUGGCGCAAAAAAACGCCAUAGUAUACUAUGUCGAAAAAAAUAAUGCAAUUUUUCAACAUGUUGUAAAAACGUGCCAUAUGAUGAAAUAAUGUAAAGGAGGCCGUGAAAAACACUCCAGAAAGGUUUUCUUUGAAAAAAAAAAAUCAUCAUGAAUUUUGGCGCAAAAAAACGCCAUAGUAUACUAUGUCGAAAAAAAAUGCGAUUUUUCAAACAUGUUGUAAAAACGUGCCAUAUGAUGAAAUAAUGUAAAGGAGGCCGUGAAAAACACUCCAGAAAGGUUUUCUUUGAUAAAAAAAAAUCAUCAUGAAUUUUGGCGCAAAAAAAACGCCAUAGUAUACUAUGUCGAAAAAAAAUGUCACUUUUCAAACAUGUUGUAAAAACGUGCCAUAUGAUGAAAUAAUGUAAAGGAGGCCGUGAAAAACACUCCAGAAAGGUUUUCUUUGAAAAAAAAAUCAUCAUGAAUUUUGGCGCAAAAAAACGCCUUACUAUACUAUGUCGAAAAAAAAUGCGAUUUUUCAACAUGUUGUAAAAACGUGCCA